GGGGAAGCUGGUUAAAGAGUAACUGUCCAUCCACCCACUUGCUGUCUGUGGGUCCCAGGAGGCAGCUGCUGCCACUUGAGUGACCUAAAUUGUUCCAGAAGCUUCCUGGCACAGAGGAAGGGUCUCUGACUAAACACUGUCCUGUUUCUUAGUGUCUGCCUCAGACAAACCACUUCCCUUGGGACCCCAGUUUCCCUGCCUGUGAGGACAACACUGCUUCAGAGACUGAAUUCUCUUUCUUUUCUUAGUCUUAUUUUUCUAGUUAAAAUAUUUAUUACAUUUUAUUAGUCAUGUGCUUGUGUGUGUAUGGGUGUACCACAGGUGUGAGGGACAGAGUCGGUUCCCUUUUUCCACCAUGUGGAUCCUAACUGAACGCAAGUGAUCAGGUUUGGCAGCAGGCUCAUCACCCAUCGACUUAUUUUUGCCAACCCAAGCUUAAAACUUUUUCUUUUCCUUUUUUCCCCCCUGGUGCUGGGAAUAGAACUUAGGGACUCAUACAUGCUAGCUUUCAGCCCAGCCAGCUGCCAGCUGCCCAGCCCUUCAGGAAACUCUCGGCACUUCCGGCCAGGACCACCUCCGAUAACGCAUCCCAGAUGCCAAGACCACCAGCAUAGUAAGAGAGCAGGAAGAGGCCAGCUACCAGCCUCCUACUUUCGCCUCUGAACACCCAGGGGGCCCAGCACCUCCCUGCAGCUCCAUUUUGUCAUCUAGCAGACAGUUUCAUGUACUCCAGAGUCUUCUAGACCUCAACGGUGCAGCCACACUCUGAGACGGCGCACGGUACAGAGACUGAGACAGCACAUUCAUUUCCAGCUAACUCUCAGGGCCAAGUGUAAACUGCUUCCCGGGGCCCAAAGGUCUCCAUGACCAAACAGAAGCACCCUGGCCAGUCACCACAGCCCAGCCUCUGCACCUCAAGUCAAGUUGUUCCUUACCUCUACCUGACACACUGGCCAAGGUUUCCCGAGGAUACUCAGAUCCCAAGUGGACAUGUAUAUGCCUUUGCUUACCCAUUCCCUGACCUCAAGUCCCCCUUGGCAUGGGGUACAGGAGGUAGUACUUCUGUCCCUCAGUUGCUGAGGCCUGAGCUAGCCAACAAGGCAGUCCAUCAGAACUACCUUAGAAUUCCUUUUCAUUAUUAUUACGUGUAUACACAUGAUGUGGAGGGUGAUAUGUAUGUUUCAUGUGUAGACACCAGAAGACAGCUCUGUGGAAUUGGCUCUCUCCUUCAUUUGUAUGUGGGUCCUGGGGAUCAAACUGGGUUUGUGCAGAAAGUACCUUUACCCAUGAGCCACCUCUCUGGUCCUGGAGUUUCUGUGUAACUUUAUUUAUGUAUGCUUUAAAGAUUUGUUUAUCCA